rnacentral:rRNA from 1 species
UACGUAGGGUGCAAGCGUUGUCCGGAAUCAUUGGGCGUAAAGCGCGCGUAGGCGGCCCGGUAAGUCCGCUGUAAAAGUCAAAGGCUCAACCUUUGAAUGUCAGUGGAUACUGCCGGGCUAGAGUCCGGAAGAGGCGAGUGGAACUCCUGGUGUAGCGGUGGAAUGCGCAGAUAUCAGGAAGAACACCCGUGGCGAAGGCGGCUCUCUGGGACGGUACUGACGCUGAGACGCGAAAGCGUGGGGAGCGAACAGG